GACGAACGCUGGCGGCGUGCUUAAUACAUGCAAGUCGAACGCAGUGGGGACGGUUGAGUAACACGUGGGUAACCUCCCAUCAGACGGGAUAACACUUGGAAACAGGUGCUAAACCGAUGAUGAAGGAUGGACCCGCGGUGGAUUAGCUAGUGGGUGAGGUAACGGCUCACCAAGGCAACGAUGAAUAGCCGGCCGGAGAGGGCGAUCGGCCACACUGGGACUGAGACACGGCCCAGACUCCUACGGGAGGCAGCAGUAGGGAAUCUUCGGCAAUGGGCGAAAGUCUGACCGAGCAACGCCGCGUGAGUGAAGAAGGUUUUCGGAUCGUAAAGCUCUGUUGUUAGAGAAGCGGUAUCUAACCAGAAAGCCACGGCUAACUACGUGCCAGCAGCCGCGGUAAUUC
rnacentral:rRNA from 1 species